GACAGCCAGGAUGUUGGCUUAGAAGCAGCCAUCAUUUAAAGAAAGCGUAAUAGCUCACUGGUCGAGUCGGCCUGCGCGGAAGAUGUAACGGGGCUAAACCAUGCACCGAAGCUGCGGCAGCGACGCUUAUGCGUUGUUGGGUAGGGGAGCGUUCUGUAAGCCUGCGAAGGUGUGCUGUGAGGCAUGCUGGAGGUAUCAGAAGUGCGAAUGCUGACAUAAGUAACGAUAAAGCGGGUGAAAAGCCCGCUCGCCGGAAGAC
rnacentral:rRNA from 1 species